rnacentral:rRNA from 1 species
AGGGUGAGUCGACCCCUAAGGCGAGGCCGAAAGGCGUAGUCGAUGGGAAACAGGUUAAUAUUCCUGUACUUGGUGUUACUGCGAAGGGGGGACGGAGAAGGCUAUGUUGGCCGGGCGACGGUUGUCCCGGUUUAAGCGUGUAGGCUGGUUUUCCAGGCAAAUCCGGAAAAUCAAGGCUGAGGCGUGAUGACGAGGCACUACGGUGCUGAAGCGACAAAUGCCCUGCUUCCAGGAAAAGCCUCUAAGCAUCAGGUAACAUCAAAUCGUACCCCAAACCGACACAGGUGGUCAGGUAGAGAAUACCAAGGCGCUUGAGAGAACUCGGGUGAAGGAACUAGGCAAAAUGGUGCCGUAACUUCGGGAGAAGGCACGCUGAUAUGUAGGUGAAGCGACUUGCUCGUGGAGCUGAAAUCAGUCGAAGAUACCAGCUGGCUGCAACUGUUUAUUAAAAACACAGCACUGUGCAAACACGAAAGUGGACGUAUACGGUGUGACGCCUGCCCGGUGCCGGAAGGUUAAUUGAUGGGGUUAGCGGUAACGCGAAGCUCUUGAUCGAAGCCCCGGUAAACGGCGGCCGUAACUAUAACGGUCCUAAGGUAGCGAAAUUCCUUGUCGGGUAAGUUCCGACCUGCACGAAUGGCGUAAUGAUGGCCAGGCUGUCUCCACCCGAGACUCAGUGAAAUUGAACUCGCUGUGAAGAUGCAGUGUACCCGCGGCAAGACGGAAAGACCCCGUGAACCUUUACUAUAGCUUGACACUGAACAUUGAGCCUUGAUGUGUAGGAUAGGUGGGAGGCUUUGAAGUGUGGACGCCAGUCUGCAUGGAGCCGACCUUGAAAUACCACCCUUUAAUGUUUGAUGUUCUAACGUGGGCCCCUUACCGGGGUUGCGGACAGUGUCUGGUGGGUAGUUUGACUGGGGCGGUCUCCUCCUAAAGAGUAACGGAGGAGCACGAAGGUUGGCUAAUCCUGGUCGGACAUCAGGAGGUUAGUGCAAUGGCAUAAGCCAGCUUGACUGCGAGCGUGACGGCGCGAGCAGGUGCGAAAGCAGGUCAUAGUGAUCCGGUGGUUCUGAAUGGAAGGGCCAUCGCUCAACGGAUAAAAGGUACUCCGGGGAUAACAGGCUGAUACCGCCCAAGAGUUCAUAUCGACGGCGGUGUUUGGCACCUCGAUGUCGGCUCAUCACAUCCUGGGGCUGAAGUAGGUCCCAAGGGUAUGGCUGUUCGCCAUUUAAAGUGGUACGCGAGCUGGGUUUAGAACGUCGUGAGACAGUUCGGUCCCUAUCUGCCGUGGGCGCUGGAGAACUGAGGGGGGCUGCUCCUAGUACGAGAGGACCGGAGUGGACGCAUCACUGGUGUUCGGGUUGUCAUGCCAAUGGCACUGCCCGGUAGCUAAAUGCGGAAGAGAUAAGUGCUGAAAGCAUCUAAGCACGAAACUUGCCCCGAGAUGAGUUCUCCCUGACUCCUUGAGAGUCCUGAAGGAACGUUGAAGACGACGACGUUGAUAGGCCGGGUGUGUAAGCGCAGCGAUGCGUUGAGCUAACCGGUACUAAUGAACCGUGAGGCUUAACCUUACAACGCCGAAG